rnacentral:siRNA from 1 species
AGGAGGUGCAAUUCCUUUCCUCUG